CCUACGGGCGGCAGCAGUGGGGAAUAUUGGGCAAUGGGCGCAAGCCUGACCCAGCAAAGCCGCGUGAAGGAAGAAGGCUUUCGGGUUGUAAACUUCUUUUAAGAGGGAAGAGCAGAAGACGGUACGUCUUGAAUAAGCCACGGCUAACUACGUGCCAGCAGCCGCGGUAAUACGUAGGUGGCAAGCGUUGUCCGGAUUGACUGGGUGUAAAGGGCGUGUAGCCGGGCUGACAAGUCAGAUGUGAAAUCCCGUGGCUCAACCACGGAACUGCAUUUGAAACUGUCGGUCUUGAGUAUCGGAGAGGCAGGCGGAAUUCCUAGUGUAGCGGUGAAAUGCUUAGAUAUUAGGAGGAACACCAGUUGCGAAGGCGGCCUGCUGGACGACAACUGACGGUGAGGCGCGAAAGCGUGGGGAGCAAACAGGAUUAGAUACCCCGGUAGUC
rnacentral:rRNA from 1 species